rnacentral:rRNA from 1 species
AACGAACGCUGGCGGCAGGCUUAACACAUGCAAGUCGAGCGCCCCGCAAGGGGAGCGGCAGACGGGUGAGUAACGCGUGGGAACGUACCCUUAUCUUCGGGAUAGCUCCGGGAAACUGGAAUUAAUACCGAAUGUGCCCUUUGGGGGAAAGAUUUAUCGGGUAAGGAUCGGCCCGCGUUGGAUUAGCUAGUUGGUGGGGUAAAGGCCUACCAAGGCGACGAUCCAUAGCUGGUCUGAGAGGAUGACGAGCCGCGUUGGGACUGGGACACGGCCCGAGCUCGGGGGGGAGGGAGCAGUGGGGAAUAUUGGAGGGUGGGCGGAGGCGUGAUGCAGCCGUGCGGGGUGAGGGAGGAAGGGGUGAGGGUUGUAAGGCUCGUUGGCGGGGGAAGAUAGGGAGGGGAGCGGGAGAAGAAGCGGCGGGUAACUUCGUG